rnacentral:rRNA from 1 species
CAAUAGCGUAUAUUAAAGUUGUUGCAGUUAAAAAGCUCGUAGUUGGAUUUCGGGGCAGCCUGGCUGGUCCGCCGCAAGGCGAGUACUGGUCAGCCGCCCUUCCUCUCGAAAGCCCCGACUGCUCUUUACUGUAGUGGUCGGGUAGUUCGGGACGUUUACUUUGAAAAAAUUAGAGUGUUCAAGGCAGGCCUACGCCUGAAUACAUUAGCAUGGAAUAAUGGAAGAGGACCUCGGUCCUAUUUUGUUGGUUUCCAGGGCCGAAGUAAUGAUUAAGAGGGACAGUUGGGGGCAUUCGUAUUUAAUUGUCAGAGGUGAAAUUCUCGGAUUUAUGAAAGACGAACAACUGCGAAAGCAUUUGCCAAGGAUGUUUUCAUUAA